AGAGAAUAGAUACCCUGGUAGUCCACGCCCUAAACUAUGAUCACUCGAUGUUGGCGAUACACUGUCAGCGUCUAAGGGAAACCAUUAAGUGAUCCACCUGGGGAGUACGGUCGCAAGACUGAAACUCAAAGGAAUUGACGGGGGCCCGCACAAGCGGAGGAGCAUGUGGUUUAAUUCGAUGAUACGCGAGGAACCUUACCUGGGCUUGAAAGUUAGUGAAUCUCCCGGAAACGGGGAGGCCGAAAGGACACGAAACUAGGUGCUGCAUGGCUGUCGUCAGCUCGUGCCGUGAGGUGUUGGGUUAAGUCCCGCAACGAGCGCAACCCUAUCAUUAGUUGCCAACAGGUAAUGCUGGGGUACGUCUAAUGAGACUGCCUGCGCAAGCAGUGAGGAAGGUGGGGUAUGACGUCAAGUCAUCACGGCCCGUUACGUCCAGGGCUACACACGUGCUACAAUGGAU
rnacentral:rRNA from 1 species